GGUGGUAGCUCAGUCGGGUAAGCGCCCGCUUCUCACGCAAGAGAUGCGGGUUCGAAUCCCGGCAGACCU
rnacentral:tRNA from 1 species